rnacentral:misc_RNA from 1 species
GAAGCUCCCAUGUACAGAAGUGCAUUUUCAGAAAAGAGGGUAAAAACCAAUGCAACUAAACAGGAGACUAUGGCAGAUACCACAAACUAGAAUAAGUAAAAUGUACACCAGGAAGCAUUUCAACCCUAUAGCUAACUUCUACCAAGUAUUCAUGUGAACAACAUAUCAUAAAUUUACUCACCAGCAGUUACAAGAUGCAUCAUGGUAUCAUACAAGUAUUAAUGA